ensembl:lncRNA
AUUUUGUGGCAUGGUAAUUUUCACAUUAUUCAGAGUAGUCAUUAGCACAAUUCAUGCUUUCAACUUAAAUGCACUUCAGUCAUCCUGAGCUUUUUUUUUAAACAUAGUUUUAGCCAUGUUUAAAAACAGUGUGCGCCUCCAACCUGACCCCUCCUUAGAAAGACACCAUUUUUAACUUCAAUAUAUUUAAUGAAGCCAUGCGCAAUUUAAUCUUUGUAUCAGUGACAGGCCUGAAAAGUACAUAAGGGUUGGUGGAAAUCUGGUGCUUUUGAUUUGUCUUAUUGUUUCCAGCAAGUUUUUGAGGCCUCGUAACGUACAUGAGUGUUGAGGCAUGACAUUUUCAGAGCUCACAGUUUCUCAGCUCUGCUACAAACUGCAACCAAAUCAAUUUUACAUCCACUUUAACUGUCACAGUCCAAAGCAAGAAAUCUUGUUGUUUUUUUUCAGAACUUUUUUUUGUUUUUCUGUAAUCAGCAAGAAGGUCGUAGGUUUGAAUCCACUAUCUUCACGUGUAAUUUCUAUGUGGAGUUUGCAUAUUUUCCCUGUGUUUGUGUGGGUUUUCUCCGGGUACUCCAGCUUCCUCUCACAGUACACUUAGUAGGGUUAGGUUAAUUUGUGAUUUUAAAUUGCCAAAAGGUGUGAAUGUGUUGUGUGUUAGUCCUGCAACAGACUGGUGACCUCUCCAGGGUGUACCCCGCUUCUCCGCCCAUUGUAUAAGUGGAAGAAACUGGCUCGAUGGAUGGAUGGACCAGCUUUGAGCAUCAGUAUCAUUGGAUGAAUAACAGUUUCAAUGGCAAAACUGCACUAAUUCAAUAUCUGGGAUGAUCUCUUAUCCAAUAAUUCACCAAUGACGACUUCAAAAAGUAUUUUGGAGCAAAGCUUCGAGGGUACCUUUCACCAUGUGGGGAUAGCUAACUUGUCUAAACAAUGCUCCCUAGAGUAUGAAUCUGCAUAAACCUGUGAUCCAUCCACCCAUUUAUUUUCUUAACUGUUUAUGAGAUUUAGGGUUCACAAAGAAUUUGCAAACAUAAACUGACAUUACUGUGAAUUAUAUUCAUGCCACUUUUAUACCACAUGUUACAUUAAACAAGCUCAAGAAGAUGGUAAUAUGGUGGUAAUAAAGGCUGCUUUACU